rnacentral:rRNA from 1 species
AACUAUAACGGUCCUAAGGUAGCGAAAUUCCUUGUCAGGUAAGUUCUGACCCGCAUGAAAGGCGUAAUGAUUUGGGCACUGUCUCAACAGCCCGCCCGGCGAAAUUGUAGUACCGGUGAAGAUGCCGGUUACCCGCGACAAGACGGAAAGACCCCAUGGAGCUUUACUGUAGCCUAAUAUUGGGUUUCGAUGUUGCAUGCACAGGAUAGAUGGGACACUGGGAAGCAAGUGCUUUGGCGCUUGUGGAGUGGCCGUUGGGAUACCAUCCUUGCGAUAUUGGAAUUCUAACCUGCGCCUUUGAAUCAAGGCGGGGGACAUUGUUAGGUGGGCAGUUUGACUGGGGCGGUCGCCUCCUAAAGAGUAACGGAGGCGUUCAAAGGUUCGCUCAGCUUGAACGGAAAUCAAGCAAAAGAGUGCAAACGCAGAAGCGAGCCUAACUGCGAGACUGACGGGUCGAGCAGUAACGAAAGUUGGAGUUAGUGAUCCGGUGGUAUGUGAGUGGAAAUGCCAUCGCUCAACGGAUAAAAGUUACCCUGGGGAUAACAGGCUGAUCUCCCCCAAGAGUCCACAUCGACGGGGAGGUUUGGCACCUCGAUGUCGGCUCAUCGCAUCCUGGGGCUGUAUUCGGUCCCAAGGGUUUGGCUGUUCGCCAAUUAAAGCGGUACGCGAGCUGGGUUCAGAACGUCGUGAGACAGUUCGGUCCCUAUCUGUCGUGGGCGCAGGAUAUUUGAUGGGAGCUGUUCCUAGUACGAGAGGACCGGAGCGGACGUACCUCUGGCGCACCAGUUGUUCUGCCAAGAGCAUAGCUGGGCAACUAUGUACGGAUCGGAUAAACGCUGAAAGCAUCUAAGCGUGAAGCCGACCCAAAGAUAAGAUAUCCCAUUGUUUCAAACAAGUAAGACCCCUUGAAGACUACAAGGUUGAUAGGCACGAUGUGUAAGUGGAGCGAUCCAUUCAGCAAGCGUGUACUAAUAGGUCGAGGGCUUGACCAC